ensembl:miRNA
UGGGAUUUGAAUUUGCAGUAACAGGUGUGAACAUUCUAGCAGCAGUUUGAUGAUCAUGUAUAAUACUGCAAACAGAACCUA